UACGAAGGGGGCUAGCGUUACUCGGAAUUACUGGGCGUAAAGGGCGCGUAGGCGGCGCUCCAAGUUAGGCGUGAAAGUCCUGGGCUCAACCUGGGAACUGCGCUUAAGACUGGAGUGCUUGAGGAUGGAAGAGGGUCGUGGAAUUCCCAGUGUAGAGGUGAAAUUCGUAGAUAUUGGGAAGAACACCGGUGGCGAAGGCGGCGACCUGGUCCAUUACUGACGCUGAGGCGCGAUAGCGUGGGGGAGCAAACAGG
rnacentral:rRNA from 1 species